rnacentral:tRNA from 1 species
GAAUUGAAAGCUAACAUUUUAAGCAACGACCUUGUAAGUCGAAGAUAGAGAAAAAUCUCUCAAUUCU